rfam:Glycine max cultivar Williams 82 chromosome 7, whole genome shotgun sequence.
GGUUUACACUUGAUCUCUGAACUUCAGGUAAGUUCACGUGUUGACAAGUUCAUUAACUGAUGCA